rnacentral:rRNA from 1 species
CACUAUCGUUAACUGAAUACAUAGGUUAACGAGGCGAACCGGGGGAACUGAAACAUCUAAGUACCCCGAGGAAAAGAAAUCAACCGAGAUUCCCCCAGUAGCGGCGAGCGAACGGGGAGCAGCCCAGAGUCUGAAUCAGCUUGUGUGUUAGUGGAACGGUCUGGAAAGUCCGACGGUACAGGGUGAUAGUCCCGUACACCAAAAUGCACAGGCUGUGAACUCGAAGAGUAGGGCGGGACACGUGGUAUCCUGUCUGAAUAUGGGGGGACCAUCCUCCAAGGCUAAAUACUCCUGACUGACCGAUAGUGAACCAGUACCGUGAGGGAAAGGCGAAAAGAACCCCGGCGAGGGGAGUGAAAAAGAACCUGAAACCGUGUACGUACAAGCAGUGGGAGCACCUUCGGGUGUGACUGCGUACCUUUUGUAUAAUGGGUCAGCGACUUAUAUUCUGUAGCAAGGUUAACCGUAUAGGGGAGCCGCAGGGAAACCGAGUCUUAACUGGGCGUUAAGUUGCAGGGUAUAGACCCGAAACCCGGUGAUCUAGCCAUGGGCAGGUUGAAGGUUGGGUAACACUAACUGGAGGACCGAACCGACUAAUGUUGAAAAAUUAGCGGAUGACUUGUGGCUGGGGGUGAAAGGCCAAUCAAACCGGGAGAUAGCUGGUUCUCCCCGAAAGCUAUUUAGGUAGCGCCUCGUGAACUCAUCUUCGGGGGUAGAGCACUGUUUCGGCUAGGGGGUCAUCCCGACUUACCAACCCGAUGCAAACUACGAAUACCGAAGAAUGUUAUCACGGGAGACACACGGCGGGUGCUAACGUCCGUCGUGAAGAGGGAAACAACCCAGACCGCCAGCUAAGGUCCCAAAGUCAUGGUUAAGUGGGAAACGAUGUGGGAAGGCACAGACAGCCAGGAUGUUGGCUUAGAAGCAGCCAUCAUUUAAAGAAAGCGUAAUAGCUCACUGGUCGAGUCGGCCUGCGCGGAAGAUGUAACGGGGCUAAACCAUGCACCGAAGCUGCGGCAGCGACACUAUGUGUUGUUGGGUAGGGGAGCGUUCUGUAAGCCUGCGAAGGUGUGCUGUGAGGCAUGCUGGAGGUAUCAGAAGUGCGAAUGCUGACAUAAGUAACGAUAAAGCGGGUGAAAAGCCCGCUCGCCGGAAGACCAAGGGUUCCUGUCCAACGUUAAUCGGGGCAGGGUGAGUCGACCCCUAAGGCGAGGCCGAAAGGCGUAGUCGAUGGGAAACAGGUUAAUAUUCCUGUACUUGGUGUUACUGCGAAGGGGGGACGGAGAAGGCUAUGUUAGCCGGGCGACGGUUGUCCCGGUUUAAGCAU